GGAAUUCUUCAGGAUCCCCCUUCUACAGGAUCACUGCUCUGACAGAACCACAUCCAGCACUUCAGGAGGACUGCAGCCCCCAUCUUAUGGGACUGCUACUGCCCCCCUGACUAACAGGGUGUCAGGUUGUAUCCUGACUCUGUCACUUUGAACCAGUGUUUUCUGCCUUUUAUUC